GGCCCCAGGUCCUCAUAUAGAAAGUCAUGUUUCUGAUGGGCCAGAGGCCUGUGUUCAGGAUUCAUUGACAGGGUGGUUAGACGGUGUGUAGUUCACAAAAUGACCCCUAUAGCAGGACUGGUGCCCACCUGGCACUGUGCCUGGUUGUUCCCGUGUCAUUGACAAGUCCCUGUGCUGUGCUGACCUCCCCUCGACGUCCGAAACCCCCAUCUGUGCUGCUCACUGCCUCACCUUCCCCUCUCGGUGCUGCCCCAGCCAUCAGUCUGCCCUGUGUCUCUGAGUCUGUUUCUGUUUGGUUUGUUUAUUUUUUUCUUUAGAUUCCACAUCUGAGUGAAACCAUCUGGUAUGUGUCUGUCUGACUUAUCUCGCUCAGCACAACACCCUCUAGGUCCCCCCACACUGUUGCGAAGGUGACGGAGCCACAGUUCCACUCCUUGGUCCAAACUGUCAGAUCAUGAGGACAGAAGCCCUGUUUUCAUCUUCUUAUCACGAUGACAAAGUGUAUGUAUAGUGUGUGUGUGUGUGUGUGUGUGUGUGUGUGUGUGCGCGCGCGCUCGUGUAUAUGGGUCCUCUUACAUUGAAGCAAAUUACAGAUGUGUGUACAUGUGACGUGUGUACAUGGGACGUGUGUGUACAUCUGAUGUGUGAGUGGAUGUCAUAUAUAUGUAUAGUCUCCGUAUACAAUGUAUGCAGCAAAAGGAAGUGGAAUUCGCCCUGCACUGGCCCAGCUGCUAACUAGCCUUGGGAGAAAGAGACCAGAUACAGAAACGUCAGGUAUGAGACAUUUUGUGUU